AAGACAAACGAAUAUGACAGCUUGCUGUGAGAGACAACGGGACAGAUGAGACACAUAUGUGUUUAUCUGCUGUAGAGUAACUGAUGAAGGAAUGCUAACAUCAAAGGAUUUGUAUCUUUUGUGGUGGAGCAGGACCUGCAAGGAAAGAUGAAAAAGAGGGAAAACCUGAAAAAAGAAUAAUGUAAUGACUUUUUGUAUUGUGUAUGUGUAUUUUUGUAGGACAUGAAAAUGUCUGUAGACUUGUGUGUGCACUGAGAAUGGAGAAGACCACAGCAUCAUCCUGGAAAUGAUCGAGAGUCACAGAUGAGACGCUCCAUCACUCCAGCUCUUACUGUCUCAUCAGGACCAGAUGCUGCUCUGGUGUCUUCAUCCUUAGUGACCCCAGAGCCAGUGAGAGCUUCUAGAGAAAGACCACAAGACACUGAGGAUGUGAUUUUGGUAAUGUUUGUUCAGCUGGUUAAUGU